rnacentral:lncRNA from 1 species
CCGGGCCAGCCUGACGAGGGCCGAGUCCCAGGAGUUUGGGAUCUAUCCUUCAGACCACAAAGGCUCAUUGAAAGUUUCUAACCAGGGCAGUCACAUGGAGCCUUCCACGUUUCUGGAAGAGGAAUGUGCAGUGAGGCUGAGGGAUGGGAAACAGGGAAAUCUGACACAAGGUGGCCCGUGGGAAGCUACUCCAGUAGCAAAGGUCGAGACCUGGAGCUCCUGCCCGACCCUCCCAAGGAACUGUCAUGGAGCUGUGAGCCAUACAGGUUUUAGAAAUCUGGCGUGUAUCUUCCAUCUCAGCAAGUAGCUG